GAUGAACGCUGGCGGCGUGCCUAAUACAUGCAAGUCGAGCGAACAGACGAGGAGCUUGCUCCUCUGACGUUAGCGGCGGACGGGUGAGUAACACGUGGAUAACCUACCUAUAUGACUGGGAUAACUUCGGGAAACCGGAUCUAAUACCGGAUAAUAUAUUGAACCGCAUGGUUCAAUGGUGAAUGACGGUUUUGCUGUCACUUAUAGAUGGAUCCGCGCCGCAUUAGCUAGUUGGUAAGGUAACGGCUUACCAAGGCGACGAUGCGUAGCCGACCUGAGAGGGUGAUCGGCCACACUGGAACUGAGACACGGUCCAGACUCCUACGGGAGGCAGCAGUAGGGAAUCUUCCGCAAUGGGCGAAAGCCUGACGGAGCAACGCCGCGUGAGUGAUGAAGGUCUUCGGAUCGUAAAACUCUGUUAUUAGGGAAGAACAAAUGUGUAAGUAACUAUGCACGUCUUGACGGUACCUAAUCAGAAAGCAACGGCUAACUACGUG
rnacentral:rRNA from 1 species